GGAUAGCUCAGUCAGUAGAGCAUGAGACUGUUCAUCUCAGGGUUGUGGGUUUGAGCCCCAUGUUGAGCAACA